GUCCAGAGAUGAGAGACCUGCAUGUGUGUGACCUGUGCCUCCUAGGAGAGCAGCCCUGAGCUAGUUUACACCUGCAUGCACAGGGCGAGGAAAGAGCCAGGUUUAUCUGGUGAAUUGAUUGCUGAGCACGUAGAUCCCGUCUUAAGGCCGAUGGGCAUCAGGUGAGGUUGCUGCUGUGAUCCCCUUCCGGUUGCUAUCCCAACUUGCGGAGUCCGGACUGGCCCUCCUCUUUCAGCCCUACUGUCCCGUGAACCUUCUCAGCACCGCAGCAAGAAAGGAAAGGGCUGAACCUGCCAGAACCAAGGGUCCAUGAACAGUGACAGAUCUGGAGAAUGACCAAAGGCCCAUGACUGUCCUCCAGACGGAAUGGAAAGAUAUCACAGUGGGAUGGAGGCAAGAAAGCCAGAUCAGAGUCUUUUCCCUCCCAGGAAGCACAGGGCCUGAAGCAAACAUUCAGCUGCUGUAUCACCCACUUCCUGGUGCUGCCAUCCUGUCUGACUCUUCUGACCCCAGGACUCCAGAGCUGUUUGCAAACUUCUGUGAUACUUGCUACUUCUCCUGCCUUAGCUGAUUGUCUUGGACCUGACUUCAUCUGUUCCUGUUUGUCGAAUGCUGUGCCAUCUGCCAGGCAGGCCAGGCUCCUUGGACAUGGCCAUGAGGUGUAUCUGAGGAACCUGGCCCUUGAAAUCAGGCAAGCUUGGAUUCACCCCCAGCAAUGCCAUUACCAGCUGAACUCCACUUUCUGCAUCAGUAAAUCAGAGUUCCAUAAAGUUGAAAAACAGGAAAAAAAAAUUUUUUUUCAUUUUGCAGAUUGAAUGUUCUUAAUGACGUUAUGCAUAUAUUCACCUGAACCUCCAGGCUUAAUGGACAUCCUAUAAUAAUCAUAAUACCAGUACAGGAAACUAUCUUAAGGAUUACAGGAGUUUGUAUAUGCAAAGUGCCUGAAUUCCUACUAGGACCUUGGAAAAGACUGAAUAAAUAAAUAUUCCAUCCACUCCUCCUUUAGCGCAAACUAGUAUUUUUCCACCUAUAUAUUUUUAGUAAUCAAUUUUAUUGGGGUAUAAUUGACUUAGAAAGUUGUAUUGGUUUCAGGUGUACAGCAAAGUAAAUCUGUUAUACAUAUACAUAUAUCCAUUCCUUUCAGAUUCUUUUCCUAUAUUGGUUAUUACACAGAAUUGAUUAGGUUACCAUGUGUUAUACGGUAGCUCCUUGCC
rnacentral:lncRNA from 1 species